rnacentral:rRNA from 1 species
GAUGAACGCUGGCGGCGUGCCUAACACAUGCAAGUCGAGCGGACAGACGAGGAGCUUGUUCCUUUGACGUUAGCGGCGGACGGGUGAGUAACACGUGGAUAACCUACUUAUCUGACUGGGAUAAUUUCGGGAAACCGGCUACAAUAAUGGAUCAUAUAAUCUACGGUUUGGUUCAAUAGUGCUUGAGGGUUUUGGUGUUACCUUUAGAUGGAUCCGCGUCGCAUUAGUUAGUUGGUAAGGUAACGGCUUACCAAGGCGACGAUGCGUAGCCGACCUGAGAGGGUGAUCAGCCACACGGGAACUGAGACACGGUCCAGACUCCUACGGGAGGCAGCAGUAGGGAAUCUUGCACAAUGGGCGAAAGCCUGACGGAGCAACGCCGCGUGAGUGAUGAAGGUCUUCGGGUCGUAAAACUCUGUUGUUUGGGAAGAACAAAUGUGGAAGUAACUAUGCACGUCUUGACGGUACCUAAACAAAAAGCCACGGCUAACUACGUG